AUUGACGGUACCAUAGGAAUAAGCACCGGCUAACUCCGUGCCAGCAGCCGCGGUAAUACGGAGGGUGCAAGCGUUAUCCGGAUUCACUGGGUUUAAAGGGUGCGUAGGAGGGCAGGUAAGUCAGUGGUGAAAUCUCCGAGCUUAACUCGGAAACUGCCGUUGAUACUAUCUGUCUUGAAUAUCGUGGAGGUGAGCGGAAUAUGUCAUGUAGCGGUGAAAUGCUUAGAUAUGACAUAGAACACCAAUUGCGAAGGCAGCUCGCUACACGAAUAUUGACUCUGAGGCACGAAAGCGUGGGGAUCAAACAGGAUUAGAUACCCUGGUAGUCCACGCCCUAAACGAUGGAUACUCGACAUACGCGAUACACAGUGUGUGUCUGAGCGAAAGCAUUAAGUAUCCCACCUGGGAAGUACGACCGCAAGGUUGAAACUCAAAGGAAUUG
rnacentral:rRNA from 1 species